CGUGACGAUCCUGCCUCCUAAAUAUAUAAUUAUAAAUCCUACUAACUACUAUCUCACAAUGGUGACUUCGUGUGCUGUUUCUGACUGCCAGAAUAGACAAGGGAGAAACCCCAAGUCAUAUUAUCGUUUUCCCAGUGAUCCCGAACGGAGAAGGUUGUGGACUGCGGCUCUUAAGAAACCGUUUGGUUGGCAGCCGACAAACAGCUGUCGUGUAUGCAGUGAUCAUUUCAUCUCAGGAGCCAAAAGCAGUGAUCCGUUGUCACCAGACUACACACCAUGAUCAGUGUUCAACUGUUUGACAUCUCCCCAGAAACGACAACAUCAAACUUACUUGAGGAGGACAGACUCCAAAAAGAGGAGAAAAGAAGCGAGUGCUAGAUGUGAAGCAGCACAAGGCUUGGUGAAUGUGUCAUACUCAGAGACUCCGGCAACAUCUACUACAAAAACUGUACUGCAACAUCAACACAAAAAUCUAGCUCCAGCACACCGAGUCAAUGGGAAGUACAAACAGAUCUUAGAUUUGCUGACAUUACUUCUGUACAUGAUGAAUGUCAGGCUUUACGUAAAGAAAAUGCUCUCCUCAAGACCAAGAUCGCAAACCUUGCCAUUGAUGAAGAUUCUCUUCAGAACAAUGAUGAAAAAGUGAAAACUGUAACUGGUCUGUGUUCAUUUCAUGUCAUCACAGGAAUACUGGCUCUUAUAUCUGUUCAUUUGAGACCUUCAAAGACUUUAUCUAAUUUUCAGCAGCUACUGAUGACAUUAAUGCGUUUACGGUUUAAUAUGAACACUCAAUACAUUGCAUUUGUUUUUGAUAUUCAUGUAUCAACUGUAUCUCGUAUUUUCACAAAUGUGUUAAAUUUGCUGUACACACAGCUUGUCCCAUUGACAGUACGCUGUCCAGCAAGAGAAGAACUAAGAAAAACAAUGCCAAGAUGUUUUAAGGAAAAAUGUCCAAAGUGUUCAAGUGUUAAAGAUUGUUUUGAAGUUUUUAUUGAGAAACCCUCUUCAUUUUCUGCCCGAUCACAAACAUAUUCACAUUACAAAGCACACAAUACAGUUAAGUAUUUGAUAAGUAUUUCUCCCCAAGGUACAAUUACAUUUAUUUCUAAGGGUUGGGGAGGCAGAACAAGUGACAAAGAAUUAACUGAAAAGUCUGGUUAUUUAAGGAAAUUAUUGCAAGGUGACACCGUCUUGGCCGAUAGAGGGUUUGACAUGCAGGACACAUUUGGUGUAUAUGGUGUUAAAUUACAAAUUCCAUCAUUCACAAGAGGUAAGCACCAGCUAAGUGCCAUGGAGGUGGAGACAACAAGAGUGAUUGCCUCUGUUCGCAUUCAUGUGGAGAGAGUAAUAGGUGUAGUAAGGCAGAAAUAUACUAUGUUGGAGGGAACCAUCCCUAUUACCCUCUUAAAAAAA